rnacentral:rRNA from 1 species
UGUUAAGCUACGCAGGGUGUGCGAUGAAUGCCUAGGGACGAGUUGCCGAAGAAGGACGCGUAAGCGGCGAAACGCCGCGGGGAGCUGCACAGAAGCGAUGAUCCGCGGAUAUCCGAAUGGGGAAACCCCCGGAGGGUAAUGCCUUCGGACCCACAUCUGAAUCCAUAGGGUGUGAGGAGGGAACCGGGUGAACUGAAACAUCUAAGUAACCCGAGGAAGAGAACUCGAAGAGACUCCGUAAGUAGCGGCGAGCGAAAGCGGAACAGCCUAAACCAGGGGGCUUGCCCUCUGGGGUCGUGGGGCCACCACUAAAUCUCCCAAACCGAGGGACGAGAGGGAAUCGAAUUUCGAUUCCGGAAAAUACCCUGGGUUUGAGAGAUUUAGAAAAGAAGAUCGAUAUUUGGUUAGUAGAAGAGAGUUGGAAAGCUCCGCCAUAGAGGGUGAUAGCCCCGUAUUCCAAAACCAAAACGAAUUCAGGUGGUACCCGAGUAGCACGGAGCACGAGGAAUUCCGUGUGAAUCUGUCCGGACCACCGGAUAAGGCUAAGUACAACUUGUCACCGAUAGUGCAUCCAGUACCGUGAGGGAAAGGUGAAAAGAACCCCGGGAGGGGAGUGAAAUAGAACCUGAAAUCGCACGACCCGCAAACAGUCAGAGCACCAUGUCAGGAGUAAUCCUGUCAAGUGUGAUGGCGUACCUUUUGCAGAAUGAGCCUGCGAGUUACUAGUGCCGGCAAGGUUAAGUGUCUCAGACACGGAGCCGGAGGGAAACCGAGUCCGAAUAGGGCGUCAAGUCGGUAUUAGUAGACCCGAAACUGCGUGAUCUAGCCAUGGCCAGGUUGAAGUGUUGGUAACACAACAUGGAGGACCGAACUCAUUGAUGUUGAAAAAUCUCGGGAUGAGCUGUGGUUAGUCCGGUGAAAUGCCAAUCGAACGCAGAGAUAGCUGGUUCUCCCCGAAAUGCAUU